CGGGCGUGCCUAAUACAUGCAAGUCGAGCGAGCUGAAUUCAAAGAUCCCUUCGGGGUGAUUUGUUGGACGCUAGCGGCGGAUGGGUGAGUAACACGUGGGCAAUCUGCCCUAAAGACUGGGAUACCACUUGGAAACAGGUGCUAAUACCGGAUAACAACAUGAAUCGCAUGAUUCAAGUUUGAAAGGCGGCGUAAGCUGUCACUUUAGGAUGAGCCCGCGGCGCAUUAGCUAGUUGGUGGGGUAAAGGCCUACCAAGGCAAUGAUGCGUAGCCGAGUUGAGAGACUGAUCGGCCACAUUGGGACUGAGACACGGCCCAAACUCCUACGGGAGGCAGCAGUAGGGAAUCUUCCACAAUGGACGCAAGUCUGAUGGAGCAACGCCGCGUGAGUGAAGAAGGUUUUCGGAUCGUAAAGCUCUGUUGUUGGUGAAGAAGGAUAGAGGCAGUAACUGGUCUUUAUUUGACGGUAAUCAACCAGAAAGUCACGGCUAACUACGUG
rnacentral:rRNA from 1 species